UCUCCCUGGAAAACGGGUGGUAAUGCCGGAUGCUCCAGUUGACCGCAUGGUCCUCUGGGAAAGCUUUUGCGGUAUGGGAUGGGGUCGCGUCCUAUCAGCUUGAUGGCGGGGUAACGGCCCACCAUGGCUUCGACGGGUAGCCGGCCUGAGAGGGCGACCGGCCACAUUGGGACUGAGAUACGGCCCAGACUCCUACGGGAGGCAGCAGUGGGGAAUAUUGCACAAUGGGCGCAAGCCUGAUGCAGCGACGCCGCGUGCGGGAUGACGGCCUUCGGGUUGUAAACCGCUUUUGACUGGGAGCAAGCCCUUCGGGGUGAGUGUACCUUUCGAAUAAGCACCGGCUAACUACGUGCCAGCAGCCGCGGUAAUACGUAGGGUGCAAGCGUUAUCCGGAAUUAUUGGGCGUAAAGGGCUCGUAGGCGGUUCGUCGCGUCCGGUGUGAAAGUCCAUCGCUUAACGGUGGAUCCGCGCCGGGUACGGGCGGGCUUGAGUGCGGUAGGGGAGACUGGAAUUCCCGGUGUAACGGUGGAAUGUGUAGAUAUCGGAAAAAAAACA
rnacentral:rRNA from 1 species